rnacentral:tRNA from 1 species
GAGGGUAUAGCUCAGUGUUAGAGUGCAGUACUUAGCAUGCACAAGGUCCUAGGUUCAAUCCCCAGUACCUCCA